rnacentral:rRNA from 1 species
AAGUCGUAACAAGGUUUCCGUAGGUGAACCUGCGGAAGGAUCAUUAACGAGUUAGGGUCUCUCAGGCCCGACCUCCCACCCUGUGUUUUUAUGACCUUGUUGCUUUGGCGGGCCCGCCUCGACGAGAGGCCGCCGGAAGCUCACCGCUUUGGGCCCGUGCCCGCCAGUAGCCCCCUUAAAUUCUUAACAUUCCUGUCGUCUGAGUCUAUGGAUAAUGAAACAAAACUUUCAACAACGGAUCUCUUGGUUCUGGCAUCGAUGAAGAACGCAGCGAAAUGCGAUAAGUAAUGUGAAUUGCAGAAUUUAGUGAAUCAUCGAAUCUUUGAACGCAUAUUGCGCCCUUUGGUAUUCCGAAGGGCAUGCCUGUUCGAGCGUCAUUACACCCCCCAAGCCAUGCUUGAUGUUGGGCCACGACACGCCGUCGGGCCCCAAACCUCUAGGCGCCCCCCACCGGCCGCGAGCGUAGCAAGAAUUAUUUCCCUCGCUUCGCGUGUCCAGUGGGCGGGUCGCCGCAGACCCUCAAACUUUUACAAGGUUUGGCCUCGGAUCAGGCGGGGAUACCCGCUGAACUUAA